rnacentral:ncRNA from 1 species
CAAAAGGCAAAGAAAGACUCCAGUAGAAGGGAGCCUGAGCUGAUCAGAGAGCCGGUGGGUGGUGCAAACCGGCAGCCUCUCCCUUUGAAUUACCGUCUUGAGCCGUCCGGAGGAACGCGCGUCACCAGGAGCGUAAGUAGUCUGGCACCGGACCUGGCAGUCCGUUAUCGUAAUGAAGUGAAAGCAGUAUGUGGAAGGGAAUCGUCCCGUAACGGCUGCUUUAAUUAGGGUGGUAACGCGAGCAGGCUCCUUCUCGUCCCUUGG